rnacentral:lncRNA from 1 species
UUGAAUUGGUUGAUGAGGUUGGGCUUCCUGGCGUGGUGGUGAAGUGGGGGACUCGGUUAUGAGUAUUGGUGAGUUGUGAGCGCCUUCAUCCCCACCUGGUGCAGCUUCAGCGAUUGAGGCAGUUGAAGGAGGACCCUCUCCAGCAGAUACGAAUGGCGUGGAGGCACUAGGAGGGUUCUCCAUGAAGUUGGGCUCGUUGCCUUCAACCGCAGGAAGCGCAGCUGCCAA